UACGUAGGGUGCAAGCGUUUGUCCGGAAUUAUUGGGCGUAAAGAGCUUGUAGGCGGUUUGUCGCGUCUGCCGUGAAAAUUCGAGGCUCAACCCCGAGCCUGCUUCUGAUACGGGCAGACUGGAGGUAUGCAGGGGAGAACGGAAUUCCUGGAUGUAGCGGUGAAAUGCGGCAGAUAUCAGGAGGAACACCAGUGGCGAAGGCGACUAUCUGGGCUGCAACUGACGCUGAGGCGCGAAGGCUAGGGUAGCAAACAGG
rnacentral:rRNA from 1 species